rnacentral:pre_miRNA from 1 species
AUAGUACUCCCUCCGUUCGGAAUUACUUGUCUCGAAAAUGGAUGUAUGUAGAACUAAAAUACAUCUAGAUACAUCCAUUUCUGCGACAAGUAAUUCCGAACGGAGGGAGUACACA